rnacentral:rRNA from 1 species
UACGGAGGGGGGCUAGCGUUGUUCGGAAUUACUGGGCGUAAAGCGCACGUAGGCGGCGAUUUAAGUCAGAGGUGAAAGCCCGGGGCUCAACCCCGGAACUGCCUUUGAGACUGGAUUGCUAGAAUCUUGGAGAGGCGGGUGGAAUUCCGAGUGUAGAGGUGAAAUUCGUAGAUAUUCGGAAGAACACCAGUGGCGAAGGCGGCCCGCUGGACAACACCUGACACUGAGGCACGAAAGCUAGGGGGAGCAAACAGG